UACGGAGGGGGCAAGCGUUAUUCGGAAUCAUUGGGCGUAAAGGGCGCGUAGGCGGCUUGGCAAGUCGAAGGUGAAAUCCCCCGGCUCAACUGGGGAACUGCCUUCGAAACUGCCAGGCUAGAGUCCGGGAGAGGGUAGUGGAAUUCCCAGUGUAGCGGUGAAAUGCGUAGAUACUGGGAGGAACACCAGUGGCGAAGGCGGCUACCUGGACCGGUACUGACGCUGAGGCGCGAAAGCGUGGGGAGCAAACAGG
rnacentral:rRNA from 1 species